rnacentral:miRNA from 1 species
GCGGCCCCACGCACCAGGGUAAGAG